CGGCUGCCAGCGCCGGGCUGCAGCAGGAGCAGCUGCGCUUCGGCAUCCAGCGCGCUUCUCUGCGAGGAGGAGGAUGCUUCGCCUCAAAAAUUUCCUGUUUACUAUGCAACACUAUCAGAGGUGUGCUCUGCAUUUUGCCAUCAACAGUCUUGUUGGGUCAUCUGUGAUGAACAGGAGGAGAGGUUGGGCAGCAGAUUGACUGUUCGAAGAGCAGCAGUAGGCAUCUCUGGAGAGACUUAUAGUUGUAAGUACGUGGUUUCUUUGAGGUUCGGAGUCCACAGUGCAGAAUGGAAAAUCUGGCAAAUACCUUUGCUGCCAGGGUUGUCCUGGGUUUGGUCUAGCCAUGGCUUUUGCUGCUGUGGUAAGCCACCAGCAAGACGACACCAUUCAGGCACAGAAGCCAGGGCUUCACAGGCUAACUGUAGGGUUACGUAGCAAAACUACUGAGUAGCAGUAAAAUUUAUGCAGGCAUCAGUGUAUACUCAUAUCACCCUCUACCUGCUUCUGCACUAGAAGAUGAACAUCUUUCACGCCUGGUUCCAGCCACCACCAUUGCCACAAUCUCCACUGGAUGCCAAAAGCCUCCAUCUCCUCCAGGUGGGUCUCUGGAGUGAAGUUGCCAUCUGAAGGAGGUGAGUGAGCAUCUCCCUUGCUCCGAGUGAGCAUCUCCCUUGCUCCAUCUGAAAGCAAAGGCAGAGCAGGUGAGCGCUGGGCAGUGAAAAGCGUUGUGUUGGUGCGGAGGAGAUG
rnacentral:lncRNA from 1 species